CCUCACGAUAAUUAUAGAUUUUUAUUUUUUAUUUUUUUUUAAAUAAUAGUAGAAUAGUAAUUGUAAUAGAAUAGUAACCUACUUUUUGAAGUAUAGUUAAUGACUAAACAUCUAUAAAGUUUAUGUUUUUAUUUUCGGUAAAUGUAACACUGACCACUGAUCAUGUGUGUAUGAACAGGAACAUCUGUCCACACACUGAUAGAAGUGUUAAAAAUAGAAAGCAGGAGUGGCCGCUUGUUUUUUACUGACAUGAUUAUUAUUAGUAUUUAUUUAUUUAUUUUGCGUGUAACAUGACACCCCACCUCUGCAGAGAAAGGGAGCUACGACAAAAGACGCCUGCCUCUAAUUGUAAAAAAAAAAAAAAAAAAAAAAAAAAAUGGAUGUACUCUCAAAUUAAAACCUCUCCAUUCAACACAAAAAAUAAAUAUAAAGCCACGGAAAGAUUUUAGUAAGUUUGUUAUUGACAGACUUCCAUCCAUUGCUUUGGCUUUACCUGAAACAAAAGCUUAAGUGGAAGGCAGCGGAAAAAUGAACCAGGCUCUCAGCGCUUUAAAGAAAACCGACAAAUCAGCGCAAAGACAACCGGGGGGCGGGACGUCUGGUGCUGACUGACAGAUAGCUGCACCAAUGAAACACCAGAGCGAGGAGCAUUAGCCAAUCAGAGGCGACACAGAGCUGGGUUUCUAACGAGAGUUGGUUUUCCCCGGGCUGGAGAGAAAAGCGGAGACGGGCAGACAUCAUUCCCCUCUCACCGUCUGUGGAAUAUACACGGAGACGAGGAGAAAGGACGUACUUUCACAUUCCUUUUUUUUUCCUGCACUAACCAGUAGGAUAAUUGCCUUACAGUAAUCUGCUGAUUUAAGCAUGGCCGACACAGCUGUUGAGACGCCUGCAGCCGCUGAGGUACCAACCAAGGAGUUGAAUCAGAAGAAAGAAGUGGAGGUGGAGAAAGAGGGGGAGGAGAAGAAGACCGACAACGGGGACGCACCUGCCAAUGGCACCAAUGGUGCUGAUCACGAUGACAAAGCAAAGGAGGCCACAGAAGAGGAACAUAAGAAUGGAGAUGGCAAAGAAGAGGAAGCGCCUCCUACUGAAGAAACUGAUGCACCACCUGUGAAGCGUGCAGCUGAGGAGGAAGAGGAGAAAGAAGACACAAAAAAGCAGAAGACCGAGGAGAACGGAGAUUCGAAAGAGGCCGAAGUAAAGGCUUAGGUUGUUGCCUUCCAGUUGUUUACAGCACUGUCUAACCAGCCUGGUCAACAUCAUUUUGUAGAGCUUGUGCUGUCUGUAUCUUUUGAAAGAGAUUUGUGUUUUGUUUGGUUGCUCCCAUGAUAUCACAUUGCACUGGAGUCUUGAGACAUGGUGGCCCUGCAUCCUCUGUUUUUUUUUUUUUUUUUUUUUUUUUUUUUUUUUACACGAGAUGUUAUUUAUUGGUCUUUGAAAUGAGCUUAUUUUCCUACUCGUGCAAAUUGGGCCACGUUAUGAGAUCAGUUUAUUUCAUUUCCUGAGGUUUUAUAUCAGUGUGUGUGAGAAGCACAACCUCUAUUAUGCCAGUGCUGACCAGGUUCAAACAUACAGGCAGCUGCUCACCUCCUAGUCUCAUGUCGACCUCUCAGAUACACUUAAAGGACCAAAGAUAAGUUUUAAGCAGGGGCUAAUAAACAGCAUAUAGCAUUAUUGGUUAAGAUGAAA
ensembl:lncRNA prothymosin alpha-like